rnacentral:rRNA from 1 species
CAAUAGCGUAUAUUAACGUUGUUGCAGUUAAAAAGCUCGUAGUUGGAUUUCUGGAGGGAGCGUCGGCCCGUAUUUACGAGUGCGUGACGUCUCUGUCCAUCCUUGCGGGAAGGCACGGCAUUGUCUUGUUGUGUCGGAUCGCAUCAUUUACUGUGAAAAAAUUAGAGUGUUCAAAGCAGGCUUUCGCUUGAAUACAUUAGCAUGGAAUAAUAAGAUAGGACUUUGGUGCUAUUUUGUUGGUUGAGCCUAAAGUAAUGAUUAAUAGGGAUAGUUGGGGGCACCUGUAUUGCGUUGUCAGAGGUGAAAUUCUUGGAUUUACGCAAGACAAACAGCUGCGAAAGCGUCUGCCAAGGAUGUUUUCAUUAA